rnacentral:sRNA from 1 species
ACGUCGGGGAAACCAGACCGCCGCGGAGAGGGACAGCGCCCAGCAAAAGCGAGGCUGAUGGAGCGAAGCCAGGAAGAGGAUGCGGAGACGCGGGGGUCUGUCUGGCUAUGUCACCCAGGCUGGCCUCCAACUCCUGAGCUCAAGCCAUCCUCCUGCCUCAGCCUUCUGAGUAGCUGAGACUACAGUUGUUGUGGAAGAUAAAGCCCAGCCUGAUAUAUGCUCUUUCAAAGGAAGUUCUCAGGAAUAUCCUGUAUAUGGCACCAGACCUCAGACAAUUCAGGUUUGGCUUUUUCCUGAUGUUCUAUCAGUGACUGGAAAUUGUAUUAGUCCCUUCUCAUGCUGCAUAAGGACAUACCCGAGACUGGGUAAUUUAUAAAGGAAAGAGGCUUAAUUGACUCAUAGUUCUGCAUGGCUGCAGAGGCCUCAGGAAACUUACAAUCAUGGUGGAAGGGGAAGCAAACACGUCCUUCUUCACAUGGCAGCAGGAAGGAGAAGUGCUGAGUGAAGGAGGAAAAAGCCCCUUAUAAAACCAUCAGAUCUCCUGAGAACAAACUCAGUAUCACAAGAACAGCAUGGGGA